AUUGAACGCUGGCGGCAGGCCUAACACAUGCAAGUCGAACGGUAGCACAGAGAGCUUGCUCUUGGGUGACGAGUGGCGGACGGGUGAGUAAUGUCUGGGAAACUGCCCGAUGGAGGGGGAUAACUACUGGAAACGGUAGCUAAUACCGCAUAACGUCUUCGGGCCAAAGUGGGGGACCUUCGGGCCUCACACCAUCGGAUGUGCCCAGAUGGGAUUAGCUAGUAGGUGGGGUAACGGCUCACCUAAGCGACGAUCCCUAGCUGGUCUGAGAGGAUGACCAGCCACACUGGAACUGAGACACGGUCCAGACUCCUACGGGAGGCAGCAGUGGGGAAUAUUGCACAAUGGGCGCAAGCCUGAUGCAGCCAUGCCGCGUGUAUGAAGAAGGCCUUCGGGUUGUAAAGUACUUUCAGUGGGGAGGAAGGCGAUGGAGUUAAUAGCUUCGUCGAUUGACGUUACCCGCAGAAGAAGCACCGGCUAACUCCGUGCCAGCAGCCGCAGUAA
rnacentral:rRNA from 1 species